rnacentral:rRNA from 1 species
UGGCCGGUACAAAGAGAAGCGAGGCUGUGAAGCGGAGCAAAUCUCAAAAACCGGUCCCAGUUCGGAUUGUAGGCUGCAACUCGCCUACAUGAAGUCGGAGUUGCUAGUAAUCGCGGAUCAGAAUGCCGCGGUGAAUGCGUUCCCGGGUCUUGUACACACCGCCCGUCACACCAUGGAAGUUGGGGGCGCCCGAAGUUGCCUAAGAAAUAAGGUACCUAAGGCGAAACCAAUGACUGGGGUGAAGUCGUAACAAGGUACC